rnacentral:rRNA from 1 species
GGAUUAGAUACCCCACUAUGCUUUAGCCCUAAACAUUGAUAGUUUUUUACACCCACUAUCCGCCUGGGGACUACGAGCAACAGCUUAAAACCCAAAGGACUUGGCGGUGCUUUAGACCCACCUAGAGGAGCCUGUUCUGAAACCGAUAACCCCCGUUCAACCUCACCUUUUCUUGUUCUCCCCGCCUAUAUACCGCCGUCGUCAGCUUACCCUAUGAAGGCCCCUUAGUAAGCACAAUGGUACAACCCAAAACGUCAGGUCGAGGUGUAGCGUAUGGAAAGGGAAGAAAUGGGCUACAUUCCUUAACCCCAAGGAAUUACGAAAAAUAUCACUGAAACGUGUAUCUAGAAGGAGGAUUUAGCAGUAAGCAGAAAAUAGAGCGUUCUGCUGAAACUGGCCCUGAAGCGCGCACACACCGCCCGUCA